AUGAAAGCCCCGCCACCUCUCCCACCCCCUGUUUGCUGGCGAUGUCAACAGAGGAAGAGGGGAGACACGCGCUUCGUGCGACUCUCAAGAUGCGGAGGAGAGAGAAAAAGGUGGGGACAAAAUCCAUUGACAAAGAAUGACGAGCACAGAUCAUGGCGGGGGCGACGCUGGAACCGCCGCGAUGCGUGCAGGUCCAUGCCUACGAUUGAUCAUAGGUUGCUGCUAGGGGUGGCUUUCCUGUGGUACACUCAUUAUGUCCGAAACAUCUAUGAGAAUAAACACCUCCUCAACCCAUGCUCUAAUCCAUGUGGCAGAAGUGGGAUCAAUCAACUCAGAAACAAAAUGAGGCUGGUUUGGAGCAAUACAUCCAUAGGGUUUCAUCAUCUCAGGUCGAGGGUGGAUCUCCACCGGCGGGAGCUCGUGCGCGUGACCAGCCUCGGCGACCGGGCGCUGUUCGUCAGCCGCGACCGGUGCUUGUCCGUCUCGUCCAGGGAUCUCCCUUCGAUCAGCGGCAACUCCGUCUACUUCGCCAGGCCGGGCGAGGACCCUGUCGAGGUGUACUCACUUUGUGACGGCUCGUUCGAGAGCACGGUGACGGCGGGCCAGUCACAGGACAUCAGGAAUGGAGUGCUUCCGACCUCGUGGACGAGAGGGCUCAUGUUUCACGAGCACUGCUACAUGCGCCCUACUUGGAGCGAGCUGUGGAAGAGGAUGACUGCACAUGAUUCGGAAGUCGUCGUUCCGAGGCUGAGAACAACGGAGCGCGAGCUGAAGAAGGUAGAACUGCCUGACCUUCUAAGCUCUGUUAGUGCUAGAACACUGUCUCAAGUACUUCUGUGCAUGGGAGGGAAGGAGGCCAAACUCCGGUCACGGGCCCGCCGGGGAGACGCCCCUGCUGCACGCUGUGGUCACCAGCUCCUUGCUGCCCGGCGAGGCGUCCUCCGCAUCGUCGUCGUCCUGGUUGCCGUCGAAGGCCGGCUCUCCCUCCCCCGGAAUCAGGACCACCGUCGCGGCGAGCCCUUGCUGCCGGAAGCUAGUCCGUCGGGGCUGGCGGCGAGCAGGUUGAGCGGCUCGUCGCCGACCAGAUCCGCUGCCUCGCGUCCGCCGCCUCGCCGGAGUUCCCUUCGGUCGCCCCUCAUCUCCGCCUCCCGUCGCUGGUGCCUAGCGUCGUCGCCCUCUCGUCUUGGUGCGCGAGACGGCCCAUGCCCCUGCGCCUGGAGAGCUAUCGCGUGUGGGCACUGGGCGGCAGCGGCAAGUCAUCGGACUCGCGUCCUUGGCAGCCGGUCCGGGCGCGUCCGCUACAGGCCGGUGGCGCGCCUGCUUCUUGGGGGCCUUGGGCAUGUCCGUGACAGAGGCGGGAGCAGGCGUCGGACCCCGGGAGUCCGCCAGCGGCGAGACGGGGGGACGGGUCCGGCGGCGAGACGGGGGACAGGUCCGGCGGCGUCGAUCUGCAGCGCGGGUGGGGGUGGGAGGUGGGAGGCGACGGCUGCGGGUGGGCCAGUCUUCCCUGGCAUUGACUUUUCAGCCACAUUAGCCCUGACGGGUGGGCCAGUUUUGUCAGUUUUAUGUUUAAAUCGUCUAAAACGAUCAUCAAGUGAAACUGGUAGUUUUUAG
rnacentral:rRNA from 1 species